UCUACGGGUGGCAGCAGUGAGGAAUAUUGGUCAAUGGGCGAGAGCCUGAACCAGCCAAGUCGCGUGAAGGAUGACGGCCCUACGGGUUGUAAACUUCUUUUGUCAGGUCGCAAUUGGGUCCACGCGUGGGCUUCGCGAGAGUACCUGACGAAAAAGCAUCGGCUAACUCCGUGCCAGCAGCCGCGGUAGUACGGGGGAUGCGAGCGGUAUCUGGAUUUAUUGGGUUUUAAGGGUGCGUAGGCGGAAUAUCUAGUCAGCGGUAAAAAUGCGGGGCUCAACCCCGUCGGGCCGUUGAAACUGAUGUUCGUGAGUGGGCGAGAGGUAUGCGGAAUGCGAGGUGUAGCGGUGAAAU
rnacentral:rRNA from 1 species